rnacentral:rRNA from 1 species
CAGCAGCCGCGGUAAUACGUAGGUCCGAGCGUUGUCCGGAAUUACUGGGCGUAAAGAGCUCGUAGGUGGUUUGUCGCGUUGUUCGUGAAAUCUCACAACUCAAUUGUGAGCGUGCGGGCGAUACGGGCAGACUGGAGUACUGCAGGGGAGACUGGAAUUCCUGGUGUAGCGGUGGAAUGCGCAGAUAUCAGGAGGAACACCGGUGGCGAAGGCGGGUCUCUGGGCAGUAACUGACGCUGAGGAGCGAAAGCGUGGGGAGCGAACAGGAUUAGAUACCCUGGUAGUCCACGCCGUAAACGGUGGGUACUAGGUGUGGGUUUCCUUCCUUGGGAUCCGUGCCGUAGCUAACGCAUUAAGUACCCCGCCUGGGGAGUACGGCCGCAAGGCUAAAACUCAAAGAAAUUGACGGGGGCCCGCACAAGCGGCGGAGCAUGUGGAUUAAUUCGAUGCAACGCGAAGAACCUUACCUGGGUUUGACAUGCACAGGACGACGGCAGAGAUGUCGUUUCCCUUGUGGCCUGUGUGCAGGUGGUGCAUGGCUGUCGUCAGCUCGUGUCGUGAGAUGUUGGGUUAAGUCCCGCAACGAGCGCAACCCUUGUCUCAUGUUGCCAGCACGUAAUGGUGGGGACUCGUGAGAGACUGCCGGGGUCAACUCGGAGGAAGGUGGGGAUGACGUCAAGUCAUCAUGCCCCUUAUGUCCAGGGCUUCACACAUGCUACAAUGGCCGGUACAAAGGGCUGCGAAGCCGCGAGGUGGAGCGAAUCCUUUAAAGCCGGUCUCAGUUCGGAUCGGGGUCUGCAACUCGACCCCGUGAAGUUGGAGUCGCUAGUAAUCGCAGAUCAGCAACGCUGCGGUGAAUACGUCCCGGCUUGUAC